rnacentral:rRNA from 1 species
UACGUAGGGUGCAAGCGUUAUCCGGAAUUAUUGGGCGUAAAGAGCUCGUAGGCGGUUUGUCGCGUCUGCUGUGAAAACUGGGGGCUCAACCCCCAGCCUGCAGUGGGUACGGGCAGACUAGAGUGCGGUAGGGGAGAUUGGAAUUCCUGGUGUAGCGGUGAAAUGCGCAGAUAUCAGGAGGAACACCGGUGGCGAAGGCGGGUCUCUGGGCCGGACACUGACGCUGGAGGAGCGAAAGCGUGGGGAGCGAACAGG